rnacentral:RNase_P_RNA from 1 species
AGAGUGGGUCUGGCGACCGCCGGAGCGCCUUUGGCUUUCCGGAGGAAAGUCCGGGCAGGACAGGGCACGGUGGUGGCUAACGGCCACCCGGGGCAACCCGCGGGAAAGUGCCGCAGAAAAUACACAGCCGAUCCUGAGUUCACUUUGUGAGUUCGGGAGGCAAUGGUGAAAUGGUGCGGUAAGAGCGCACCGCGGCGAUGGUGACAUCGCCGGCAGGGUAAACCCCACCGCCUGCAAGACCAAGUGGCCGGUUACUCGGCCCGAGUAUGAGCGGUUAAGCUUACCGCUCGACCGGCGGGUAGGUCGCUUCGGGCAUCUGUUCGGAGUGCAAACUCAAAUGGGUGCCGGAGAACCGACUGGCAACAGUUGGUCAAGAUAAAUGGUCGCCGUUCGCCCUUAUCGGCGAAAUACAGAACUCGGCUUAUCGACCCGCUCUUUUU